GCCCCCUUAGCUCAGCCCGGCCAGAGCAGCUCACUUGUAAUGAGCAGGUCAACGGUUCGAAUCCGUUAGGGGGCU
rnacentral:tRNA from 1 species